rnacentral:lncRNA from 1 species
UUACAUCAAACCUCUCUUCAGACUUCUCUAGUUCAUACCUGUAUGCAAUACAAAAAUAUAAAUAUUUUUCUAAGAGCACACGAUGCUAACAAAUUCUCAAGAAAUUCAUAUUCAAUCAGCUUUCAAUAUUAUGAUUCAUACAUAAAUGAAGAUAGCUAGAAAGAAGAAAUGCAAUGAAAAUGAGAAGGACCAGAUAAUGGAAGAAUUAAAUUACUCACUUUGCAUCAUUGUAAA